GCGUCUGUAGCCUAGUUGGUAAAGGCAGCACUCUAGUAUGUGUCUCAGCAUAGCUGAGGUCGUGAGUUCGACUCUCACCAGACAAG
rnacentral:tRNA from 1 species